AAACUACUCCCUCCGUCCCAAAAUUCUUGUCUUAAAUUUGUCUAGAUACGGAUGUAUCUAAUACUAAAAUGUGACUUGAUACAUCCGUAUUUAGACAAAUCUAAGACAAGAAUUUUGGGACGGAGGGAGUACAUU
rnacentral:pre_miRNA from 1 species